AUACGUAGGGGGCGAGCGUUGUCCGGAUUUACUGGGUGUAAAGGGCGUGUAGGCGGGUCUGCAAGUCAGAUGUGAAAUCUCCGGGCUUAACUCGGAAGUGUCAUCUGAAACUACGGAUCUUGAGUACUGGAGAGGAUAGUGGAAUUCCUAGUGUAGCGGUAAAAUGCGUAGAUAUCAGGAGGAACACCAGUGGCGAAGGCGGCUAUCUGGACAGUAACUGACGCUGAGGCGCGAAAGCGUGGGGAGC
rnacentral:rRNA from 1 species